rnacentral:rRNA from 1 species
UACGGAGGGUGCAAGCGUUGUCCGGAAUCACUGGGCGUAAAGGGCGCGUAGGCGGCCCGGUAAGUAGGGGGUGAAAUCCUGCGGCUUAACCGCAGGGCUGCCUUCUAAACUGUCGGGCUCGAGCACGGUAGAGGCAGAUGGAAUUCCCGGUGUAGCGGUGGAAUGCGUAGAGAUCGGGAAGAACAUCAGUGGCGAAGGCGGUCUGCUGGGCCGUUGCUGACACUGAGGCGCGACAGCGUGGGGAGCAAACAGG